rnacentral:rRNA from 1 species
UACGUAGGGUGCGAGCGUUGUCCGGAAUUAUUGGGCGUAAAGAGCUCGUAGGCGGUGUGUCACGUCGGCCGUGAAAACCUGCAGCUUAACUGUGGGCGUGCGGUCGAUACGGGCAUCACUGGAGUUCGGCAGGGGAGACUGGAAUUCCUGGCGUAGCGGUGAAAUGCGCAGAUAUCAGGAGGAACACCGGUGGCGAAGGCGGGUCUCUGGGCCGAUACUGACGCUGAGGAGCGAAAGCGUGGGGAGCAAACAGG